rnacentral:tRNA from 1 species
GCCCGGGUAGCCCAACGGCAGGAGGCACCUGAUUCAGGGUCAGGACAGUGGAGGUUCGAAUCCUCUUCCGGGUA